rnacentral:lncRNA from 1 species
AAAACGAAAUGGAAGAGCCGUUGCGCCGACACAAUCCAUCCCAAUACCAGUACACUUUGUUUAACAAGAGAGAAUGUACAUGCCCAAAUAUAUGUCACAUAAACAUGAGGAAACACUUCAAAAUAUACAUAGUAGUAAGUUUACAAAUCAAAAGGAAACAUUGUAUUAAGAUACAUUUAGGGUUUCCAACUUCCACGGAGCUAUACAAAAGGGUGUUUAUACAAGCUCAAUUCAUUCUUCAAAAUGUCAUUGGUCCAAAAGAUGGUUCCCUGUAAGGAAAACAAGGAUAACGGGACGGGGUGAGCUAAAAGCUCAAUGAGGUACCAAAAGUAUAAAUGGUAGGAACAGUAGAACUCAUGAAAAAUCACUUUUAAGGCAAAUAUUCACAUCAAAUACAAGAGAUGAAAGAACACCACAAUGUAAAGGAUACAGGUGGCUCUCAGGAGCCAAAUCCCCGUUGCAAUACUUGAUCUAGUCUCGUUAACCCUCCGUCAACGUUCAAAUGAAGGAACCAGUCCCGUAGAGCACCACUUUAACGCCAAAAUCCCGUUCACCAAACAUACCCCUUACCGGGCCUGAACGCCAAACAGGAACAGGAAUGGUAAUACUCGAGUAUACCGGAAUCAAGAAUCUUAAUACCCAAAGAUUCCCCAGGAACAGGCACCUAUGGAUUGUCAAUUACCUCGACCAAACCCUUGCUGGCUCGAUUUAAUUAACUCCCCAUGAGGUUGAGCUCAAGUUAACAGGAAAAUCGUUGGACACACUUCCAAACGAUCUCAUAACAAGCGCAAGUAACAAGUUCAAGUUCAUAACAAGUACAUGUAAGAGAUUCCAGUUCAUUCAGUUCAGGCAAGAGAACGAGUGUGAUAAAGGACACCCUCAUCUCAUUCAGAAUAACAGAGUUCAUAGUUAUCCAUGUCACACAUUUCAAGUAUAGAUGUACCAAUCAAACAACAAUUCAGGGGAGUGGUACACUCACCUAUUAAGGCGAAAUAACGUCCAGAAUAUCUUUCCGGGUAACACUUUCAAUCACCGAUGAACCCUAAGGUUAAUCAAGAGAAAAUGUUACAGUUCCUCCAGCAAAAGUUAGGUGAAUCGAAAACAAUUCAAAUACUACUAGUAUUUUGGACAUGAUUUUGGAAGUGAAAAGAGUACAUUUAAACCAAAGGACAUGAGUAAAAUAUUUGAAAAACUCAUGCUCGCUCGUAAAACUUUGAAAUAUCCAUUUGAGUCGAAGAAAUGAAGAAAACGUAUUUCUAUUAGUCGUAAAUUUCAUUUUUUCAAGUGUACAAGUUUCGGCCAGAUUCGACCUUAUAUACCUCGAUAAAAGAGGACGCAAAUAUCCUAGAUGGUUUAUAUGGUAUUUGCUCUCAAAUCGUUACAUAAUCCUCGAGUGUAAAUUUGGGCAGCACGCCCUUUGUAUUUACCUAUUUUCCAGCCACUUAUGGCUUCAUUAUUUUCCUCAAUCAAUCCCAAAGUCAUACACAAUACAAAAUCAUUACAACAGCCGUUCAAUAGGCUCAAAGUCAUCCAAGUACAAGAUUUAGCUAGGAAAAUGACCGGAAAUAAGCUUUAAGCUAAGGAACCAAAAAGGCAGAUUCACCGCUACUUAGCGUAUCGGACAUAACCGAAACUACGCUUAUUGGAUUGAAGUGAAAGUUAUACCGUUUCGAAGCUAAGAUAGAGGGAUAUAACUUUGAUGAAGACCACUUAGUCCAGUUCUCAUCCUAACUAGGUCAAAGUUACCAAAACAACCCCAGAUUUUCCAGUUUGAAGCUCACUGUGAAAUUCAACUAGCAGUCCUGAUUCAUUCAAUCAUAUCUCAGCACACACAACUCCAAUUCAAGUAAUUCCAAAGCCAUUUGAAAGAUAAAAUACAAGGCUAUAAUUCUUAAGAAGACAUUGACAACCAAAUCAGUAGUAUUCCUAGUCAAACUAACCAAUUACAGAAGCUGAUUAUCAGUUUCGGACAGAAACAGGGCAGCAGGGGUAUUUCAGUCUUUUCACAGGUUACGUUACUCCGAUUGGGCUGAAAUGUUUUAGCCGACUAUAAAACAUCAUUCUCUACAAGUUUCAUGUUUUAUACUAAGGCCAAUUCGGCCUCUAACUAGGGGUAACAGUACCAGGCAGAAUAUGAGAAAUUGAAACCCUAACCUGGAAUUUUCCGCACAACAUGGAAAUUUUCCAUAUUUAGCUACAAUUUACGCACUAUAGCUUCAUUCUAGACUAUCCCAAGCCAUCAUCCAUGGCCACACAAUAUAAAACAUAUAAAAAUAGAAAAAUCAAGAAUAAAUAUAAAAUUCAUCAAAGCUUCACUUCCAACCAUAAACACACCAUAAAUCAUCUUAUUUAGCCACCAAUGCCACUAAUUUACCACUAUUAAGAACAAAGAGAGGAUUUCUUCACAACUCACCUUACAACUUAAGAAAAAUAGCAACUUAGCACUUCCUCUUGCCAAAUCACUCCACCAACUACUUCAAUACCACUUAGCAAAGGGAUUUUAUGGAGAGUUUUGGAGUAUAAACGGUUAAGUUGUGAGAUUGGGCAAGAUUAAGAAGAAGGAAGUUGGAGAUUUUUUUUUCUCUUUCUUUGCUCAAGAAGUUCGGCCAAGGGGAGGAAAAAAUGAAGAUGUUUUUAGUCAAUUCUUUUGGUUAAAUGGUAAAGUAAGAAAGUUGGUCAAACCAUCCUCAAGUCACAAGGUGACACUUGUCACCCCUUUUUGUUUGAGUUUAUCCUUUUGUCUUCCAAGGUUAAUCCCUCUAUGCAUCCUCUAAUUGGCUCAGAAUACCAUGUAAUAUAAUCUCUGUCUAUAUAACUUAACCUAAUUGGCCGCAUUUUAUCAAACUUACCGCACUAGUGAGUCCCACAACCGGUAUACGCUCUUAAUUUCUCAAAAUCUAAUUAAUACUAGAAAAUUAAUUUUAGAACUAUAUUUACUCAGAAAAAUUAUCUAGAAAAUUUUUCUAACAAAGAAAAUAUAGAAAAGGCAUGCAAUUAAAUAAAAUAAAGUCUAAAAAAUAAGAAAAUCCACGGGUUCUCACAAAUACCCUGCUAACCUUAUAAAACGUCGAACCUCAGUAGGGUUUUUCGGUCGUUUCCACUUUGAAACAGCUUCAACUUUGGCUAGAUACACUUUUAUCCCAUCCUUAGAAAUUAUGUGCCCCAAGAAUGUCACUUCUUUCAACCAAAACUCACACCUGCUAAACUUAGCAUACAAUUGGUGUUCCCUCAGAGUUUGCAAAAUAAUUCUCAAGUGCAUCUCGUGGUCCUCCACAUUCUUAGAGUACACCAAUAUGUCAUUAAUAAAUACCACUACAAAUUGGUUCAGAUAAGACUUAAAGACCCUGUGCAUCAAAUCCAUAAAAGCAGCAGGUGCGUAUUCGUUAACCCAAAUGGCAUUACGGAAAACUCAAAGUGUCCAUACCUCGAGUUAAAAGCAGUCAUGGGUAUAUCUUUCUCCAAAAUCCUCAAUUGAUAAUAACCCUGUCUCAAAUCUAACUUGGAGAAUACCACCGCCCCUUGCAAUUGGUCAAACAUUUCAUCAAUGUGGGGCAACGGGUACUUAUUCUUAAUGGUGACAUCAUUCAAGCCUCGAUAGUCUAUACACAACCUUAGACUCCCAUCUUUCUUUUUAACAAACAGGACUGGGGUUCCUCACGGUGAAUCACUCUCUUUUAUAAAACCCCAUUCCAACAAGUCCUGCAGUUGCAAUUUCAAUUCCUUCAGUUCGGCUGGAGCCAUCCGAUAUGGCAUCCUAGAGAUAGGUGCUACUCCCGGAGUCACAUCAAUCUUAAAAGCUAUUUCCCUUUCCAGGGGUAAGGACUCUAACUCUUCAGGAAAAACAUCCGGGAACUCUUUCACUACAAGCAUAUCCUCCAAUCUCACUUUAUCACUAGGAGUGUUGAUUAGAAAAGCCAAAUAUCCCUGAGCUCUCUUACUUAACAUUUUCCUAGCUCAGAUUCCUGAGAUAAUUGCAGAUGACGCUAAUCUACCCCUUACAUCCAAUUUCAGGGUUGCCUCUCCCAGAAUACAUAGUUCUACUAUCUUCGUCUUACAAUUCAACUGGGCAUUGUAACGGGCUAACCAGUCCAUUCUUAGGAUCACAUCAUACCCUUUAAUUGCUAAGCCUAUCAAAUCGGCCAGUAAUUUACGUUCUCCAACCCAGAUCUCACAAUUUCUAUAUGCCAAAUUAGCAAUUAGACUUUUGUCCCCAGUAGGCGUUCUAACCUCCAAGUCAUAAUGUAACUUAAUUGGGUUCAAGUCUAUUCCGCUCAUGAAAUUAGGGUUUACAAAAGAAUGUGUCGCACCCGGAUCAAUUAAAAUCUUAGCUAAACGAUGGAAGACAGGAACCGUACCUUCGACCACCUCAGCCGCAUCAGGUAUCUGUUGAUGAUCCAGUGCAUAAACCCUAGCAGGUACAUUUGGCCGGCUUCCUUCAGCACUGGUCUGUUUAGAGGUUGACUUUUCGGGUCUUUGGGUGCUACCUCCCACCUUCAGCUUAUUUGGACAAGUCGCGAGUUGGUGCUCGGUACUACCACAAGCCAAACACUUCCCAGACUUUCUCCAACAAUCAUUCUCAGAGUGAUUGGACUUACCACAGUACCCAUAAAUAACUGGAGGGGUCACUGCUGAACCAUUAGAAGGCACUCCCCUAACUUGAAGCGGCCCACUACGACCUCCUCUGGAUAAAGCUCCCCUAGAAGCUCUAGAAGUCCUUAUUCCUCCCAUUCCUCUUCUAAUUUUGGAAGGCUGUGAACUCUUACUAGUCUGUCUAGAAGUACGACUAGAAAAGUUCCUCUUCCUAUUAUGAAAGUCCUUAACUUGUAUUCUCGCACUUUCAACUCAUUGCGUUUUCUCUAAAUCCUCAGUAAAUGUAGAGAUUUGGGCUGCGGGCAAGCCCUCCUGGAUUUCCACAUUAAACCCUUGUACAAACCGCCUUAUCCUUUUCCGCACAUUGGUUACCAAUUCAGAGGCAUACUUAGAAAGCUUAGUAAAUAUUCCUUCAGACUCUGCCACACUAAGGGUUCCUUGUUUCAACUUGAUAAACUCAUCCUCCCUCUUUUCUUGGAUCAAGGGCGGAUGAAACUUUUCAUUAAACUCUCUCGUAAAAUUCUCCCAAGUCCAAGGGGUUUGAGUUCUCUCCCAUUUUCCCCUUAUCAUAUCCCACCAAGCACGUGCCACUCCCUCAAAUUGGAACGUAGCAAAAUUCACUCGCCUAUCCUCGGUAUAGUCUAAGGCAGCGAAUAUAUUAGUCAUCCUUUCCAACCAGUUCUCCGCUACCUCAGGAUCAGGUUCACCAAUAAACUUAGGCGGAUUAAACUUCAAGAACCUCUCUAAGGCUCUAUCCUCCCCUCUAUCCUGUCCCCCAGGUUGGUUAAGCUGUCCAGGACCUUGUCUAUCAGCCAAACGCUAUAGGAUAUCAGUCAUCCUAUUAAUGGUAGUAGCCACUUGAUUACCCUCAAUAUUUUCUUGUCCCUGGGUCGGCCCAGUUGCCGAUCCCUGGUCAUCCCCAUGAGGUUGGGCCUGUCUAGUUCCUCGCCCACGGCCUCGACCACUCCUUCGUCCUUCCAUUAUCCUAGGUAUGCCUAGUGCAAGAAAUGAAUCAAUUACGCGAGAAAAUACAAUUAGCAAGUCAUGGGAGAAAUCACAAAAAAAUAUAGCACACAGGUGCCACAAGAGUACUUUCAGUCAUGUAAGACUAAAGCAGAAUCAAGUGCCUCAAAAGUAAGCCACACAGUCAUGCAAAAUACAAUGGCCUCAGCACUCGCAUCACCCCAGCUAAUCCUAACUGUACCAUCGAAAGGGUCAAAAGGUCAAUCGCUCUAGACCUAGUCCACAGUAGGACUACCAAGGGGAAUCUUCUCCUCAGGAUCCUCCUCCGGAUCCUUCUCCUGAUCUGGGCUCUGGACAAUAUCCAUCACCCCAUCUAUCAUCUCAAUGGUAUCAGCCAGGAUCCCGAAAGCCCGAUCAUGGACCUCCUCACCUAACCUAGUGAGUCGAGUCCUAGUCCUCUGGAGCUCCUCACGAGUGAUCGCAGCAAUAGCCACCUCGCCCUCCAGAACCUCCUCAAGCUCCGCAAUCCUCUCUCCCUGAGCACUAACCAUCUGUCUCAGCUCGUCCACCUCCGCCUGUAAAUCUAAGUUGGCAUUCACCAACUGACGACGCUCGUCGUCCAAGGCUAGCACGAGGUGGUUCGGGUAGGAAAAAGUCAACCUACAUGAACAUCGAGGGUAUCUAUUAGAGGGUGAAUAAUGCACUCGAGCCCCUCCACCAAGAGCUCGAUAGUAAAUAGGCCUAGGAGGUUCUACAUGACCAUUAGCAUGGCCAUUUCCAUUAGCUGCCGGAGUUCCAUUUCCAUUUUUCAUCCCUGCAAAACAAUUACACUUUUCGGGUUAGAAAUUUAAUCACUAACUCGCACGAAUGUCACUUAAGGCAUGACUAACUUAGUCACUAACUUGCCCAAGUAUCACUUAAAGUAUGAUUUAGUCAUCCUAUCUCAAAUCUUAAGGGUAAGGUUUCUAGUAUAUAUCCCAAAUAGAUCGCUAGUCUAGCGCUCUGAUACCAACUGUGACGCCCCCACUUCUCCCUAAGGCGAACCAAAGGGUAUCCGCGGGACGCCUGCCCAACUCUCGUCAGGACUCGGUACAAAUCCCAUUCAAGCUUAAUAUAAUACUAGCUAUCAUGACAAGACAAGGUAAGGAAGAUAAGUUGCCUCUAUAAAUAACAUUUAAAUUUACACCACGAGUUCCGAAAUAUAUCAAUCAUCCAAUCCUUACAUCGGGUUCUCAAAAGAUACAUCGAUUCCCAAAACAUACAACAGCCAAGAUAUGUAAACAAUUACAUUGAAACCCUAACACAAAAGUACAUCCCAAGGGUUUCUUCGAGUCUUACUUCAUGCCCAAUCCUAUUAAGGAAAAUAAAUCUAUAGGGUGAGCAAUCGCUCGUGAGGUCAAGAACACACAAGCAAGCACGUCGUCCAAAUAACAAACCCACUGAAUAAGUAAAACAAUAACAUUCGAGUAAAUAACAACUCAGUGAAAUGUAACCAGAAACAAUUCAAGGAUAUGGUAGUUCUCAGGAGCUAAUUUCCAGUUGCUUUGCAAAUUUCAUUCGUAUAUCUUCUCGUGAUGACUCUCCGUCAACCGGGUCGAUAUUUCCAAUCCAUAGAAUUCCACUUACUUCUCAUGUCAGUCCACCUUACAACCCCUCACCGGGCCCGAACGACGAUAAAGGCGCUACUGCACGAGUAGGCCAAGCAAGAUCUCUUCAAUAGAUCAAGCUUAUCAUGUUAUUCUCAUGGCUCACCGAGGUCCCCGACCAAGCCCAUGCCGGCUCGAGUCCCAAGGUCGGCCUAUGAGUUUGGGCGUCCCCCAUGUAACAUUUGUGAGUCGAGGAGAUCCACUCCAACGAUGUAUGCAGCCAUAGCAUACAAUUUCAUUUCAUUGAAGCAUUCAAUCAUUUCAUUCCAUUCAAUCAAGUCAUUCAUAAUUCAUUCAUUUCAUUUCAAUUAUGAGUCAUUCAUUUCAAAUAAGAACGAGUGCGGUAAAGUACACACUCACCUCCAUUUUCAAAAUCUCCAAUCAAUUAUAACAAUUAAGCAUGUAUCAAGUAUUCAUACACUUGACACUCACCAAGUAAACAAAGGAGAAAUUGUCACUCGAAGAUUCAGGCGUCCACCGUGGGAUCCUCUUGAAGGUCCUCGUGAGUGCCUGAGCAAUUGAUAAUGAACUAUUACUUAUAAACCCCAAUUAUCACGGAAGAUUGCAUGCUUGUACAAUCUAGAAGAUAUCGCGAAGAUGAGCCUAGAUUUUCCUUGUAAAUCGAGGCUCAAAAGUGGGGUUCAAAACUCAAGUAAAAAUCUGAUUUUUAACCUUAAAAUCAUUGGACAGAAACAAGUAGGUAUGAAAUCAUGUAAAUUAUUUUCCAAACUAAUGACCGAAGUCGAACAGAAAAGGGACACGUCACAAUCCGGCCAAGAUCUGGCCGGAUUUGAGGCAGAGAGCAUCCCAAUUCUUUUAAUUUUCACCACCAAUCCGGCCAACUAUCCGGCCAAGAACUGGCCGGAUAUACCGCCAGAUUCUUUGAAAAUGGUUCCUGUACGAAAAUUUUUUAAAAGUCUAGGAAUUAUCGAAUUUAGGGGCCUUCUUGGAAAAAUCAUAACUCACUCUCUAAAAGUCCAAAAUUGGAAAAUUUGGUACCGUUCGAAACACUUCCAAAGUACUAAAAGUUCCUAGAAGAUACCUUUCCAUGAUUCCAAAUGGAAGAUAUUCAAAAUUUGGCUCAAAGUGGCUGUUUUGGAAAGCCAAGACAGAUUUGGGUUGAUUUUCGGCAAAGUUUGGAAAUUCUGCAAAAUUCACACAAUGCGAACUAGCAUCUGAAAUUUGGAACCCAAUUAGAGUUACAAUCAAAAUUUUCAACACAAAAAGCAGAACAAGAAUUGGAGUUUUGAGCACCAAGAUAUAGUAGCUCAAAUUCACUGAAAUUUCCUCCUCAAACAGAGGUUUUCAAGGUUUAAAGCUUGAGCUUUGGUACUUUAGUUGAACAUCCAAAUGAACUUGGAAUGGCACCAAAGUUAGCAGUAUUACACUAUUAUCUAAGGGCUAUUCCUCUGUAAAUUUGCCAUGCAAAAACUCGCACGGGAAGUCAGUUAACCAAGUCAUUAAAACUCCAAGAAUUUCCAAGGCAAAACUGUCUUGUACUUUAGUUUUCCUUUUCUCAAACAUUUGGCCAAUGAAAAUUCCUAUAACACGAUUCAUUUAGGAGGAAAAAGUCCAGGAAACAUCCAAAAUACGUUUUAUAGGUGAUUAACACCAAGGAUUUCAAAUAACAAGUCCCAAAUCAAGAUUAGCUAAAAGUCAGUCUAGAAUUAGGGUUUUCUUUCACAAAGUCAGUUCUGAAAUUCGGCCACUUCUCACUCAAUUCAACUCGGAAUUGAGCAUUGUUGGUGGCGUUGAAAACUAAAUUCAUAAAGCUACAACUUCUUAGAAGGAAUCAUUUUAAAAUUCUAUCCAAAACUAGCUCACAUUUGAGCAUCAAGUCGCAGUUCAAAACAGAGCUACCAGUAUAGACGCGAAAUAGAACAGGCAACUUUACAAGGUUAGUACGGAUCACUCAGGUGGAAUCAAGGCAUGCAUUUUAUACCAUUAGAAAGCUGGAAAUGUCUAGUUUCUAGUGCCGCAAACGGCACUCGAUUUGGACGUCGGAGCAAAAAGUUAUGGCCGAAACAAAAACACUGCCAGAGCAAUACGGGACACAAUUCCAGUUUUGGUAAAUUUUCGAAAUCUCAACAUUCACUCAUCCAAAUCACGUAAAUUUUUUAGGAACUUUAUACACAACCUUUAUUACAUAUUUACAUCAAAAAAAGUCAAUUGGACCAAAAAAAAAAUGCACUAAGGGUCACGGCAAUGGCAAGGGCAGAAUUGGUAAAAUUUUCCUCUUCAUUUCCUUUGAACUUUCUUCAACAAUACCACUCAUUUCCACUAGAUUAAACACUAAUCCAACAUAAAUAGCAUCAAAUCUCAUCAAAUUAGUCCAUCAAGCUAUAGUGGGAUUUCAUAGAGCCCACACACAAAAUUUCCAACAAUAUAAAGCUACCCAUAUGAAUUUAUAAGCUCACAAGUGCAAGAUAACUUCCAUAAACUAAGAUUUUAGAGGUUGAUCGUUCAUUACCUCUUUGGAUGAGCAAGGCAGAAAAUUUCGGUCCCUUGGAGCUAAAGAAAAAUUGUGAGAUGAAGCUCUUUUCCUAGAUUGAGGUGAUCUCCAAGUGGUUAGCAAAGUGUAUGUAAAUUUUGAGGUGAUUUGGUAAAGAUUUAGUGAUGAAAUGAAGAAGAACUUGAUGAAGAAAUUUGGUUCUUUUCUCCCUUGGAUGGCCGGCCAGCUUAGAGCAAGAGAGAGAGAGUGUUUGAUGAAAAAUGAAGCUUCCUUGAGAAGCUAAAAUGUGUGGCUAAGAAUGCCUCAAAUAUCAACUCUCACCCCGCGCGCACACACGCGCGUUUCGUGCUUGAUUCCUUUCGAGUUUAUUUCACUUGUGCACUAAACCUCUAAUGCAUUUCCAUUCAUACUAUUAUUAUUCACUCUUAAUGGUCUAAAAAUAAGAGUCUAAAGUUCCUCAAUUAAUCACGCGCGCGAAAACGCGUACUUCCGAUUUGUGCGCGAUAAAGUGGAAUUUUCAAGAAAUUCUUAUAACGAUAGUAUCACUAACUAAUAAUUGAACACUUAAACAUAAAAAUACAUAUUUCAAGACUAAUGUACAAGUCUCCAAUUUUCCAAGCUUAUUGUAUUCUCGAAUCGAUUAUUGUCUCCAAACGCGUAUCCACUAUUCUCACUUAACGAGUUUUCAAAAAUUUAAAUUUUGAAACGAGUCAUUUUAAAAAUAUAAGCAAGCCAUAAUUUCAUGAAAUUGGGUCUAAAAGGGUCAAAAUAAAAUAUUCGGAACAAACAGGCAAUUAAAUAUUUAAAUAAACUAGUAAUAGGAAUUUAAAAUAAGUAAAUUUGCGAACCAUGAGGAAAAAAAAUAAGCUUGACCUAUUGAGAAGUCUUGCUUGGCAUACUCGAACAGUAUCGCCUCAAACAAACGACAGGCGGGCCCGGUACAGGGGUAUGUAAUGGUGAACGGGGACAGGACAAGUGAAGUUCUACGGACUAUAGCCUACCCGAUUGACGGAGUUUCAAUUCGUGGAGGUUCUUGAUCGUGCAAGUGGAAAAUAACUCCUGAGAGCUCCUAUAUCCUUGAAUUGUUUCUGUUUACUUUUCUAGCUCGAAUUGUUAUUUACUUGAAUGUCAUUGUUUUACUCGUCAAUUGUGAUUGUUAUUUGAACAACGUGCUUGCAUGUGUGUUUUCUCGGCCUCACGAGUAAUUGCUCACCCCGUAGAUUUGUUUUCCUUAACAGGAAUGGACGUGGAGCAAAAUUCAGAGAAACCCUCGAGAUGUACUUUUGUAUUAGGGUUUUAAAUGUAAUUGACUAGACAUUUUGACUGUUGUAUAUUUUCGGAAUUGAUAUAUCUUUUGUUAACCUAAUGUAAGACUUGGAUAGUCGAUUAUGGAAACGACUUUUCUUUAUUAGGCUUGUAGUAAUUGUUAUGUAUCGUUAAACUUGAAUCGAAUUGUCUUGAGUCCUGGCGAGAGUUGGGCAGGCGUCCCACGGAUACCCUUUGGUUCGCCUUAGGGAGAAGUGGGGGCGUCAUAGCAAGGGGCCAGCAACUGAAGACAGUGAUGAUGAUAAGGAAACUGCAGAAGAAGAAGUGGAUCCUGCUCAGUUUCGCCUAGCAAGGAGGAGACCUGGAUCAUCCAAGAUUACUAUUUAGGCACCUUUAGGUACUUGCACUUUAUUUUAGGAUAGCAUCUCAUAGUAGACAUUUGCAUCUUUUGUAUUUUGACAAUUCAAGUACUCUGUACUUAGUAUUCUGGUUAUUUGGUUAAACUCUGGUUUGUAGUUUAUUUGGUUCACUUUUAUAUCUUGAUGGUUUCUGGUUACUUUUAUUGGUCAAAUCUCAUUUGGUUAAUUUUGUUUGUUUUUGGGCUAAUGAGUGCGGAGUGAUUGAUAUAUCUGUGAGAUUGCUGAUUUCUGAUUGCUGAUAUUUGAGAUUGCUAAUUCCUUAUGCCUGAUUUCUGAUUGGUUAACUCUCUGAUUUUGGUAUGUUGGUUGUUGUAUUGAUGAUGCUAGUUGUUAUUGAUGACAUUGAUGUUGAUCUUCUGGUAUGAUGUGGUGUAUUAAAUUGGAUAUUGGACUUGAUUUCUGAUAUUGGAUUACUGCCAUUAGUUGUUAAAAUCAUCUAAUGAUGACAAAAAGGGGGAGAAAUAGAUGCUAAGACACCAAGGAAGUAUAAUCUGAGGGGUGAGCUGUCUUGAGGGGGAGUGCGUACUUACAAACUUUUUGAUGCAUCAUGUGAGGGGGAGUUUUGACUCAACUAUUUUCUUUCCUCCAUCCAUUAUUUUGUCAUCAUAAAAAAGAGGGAGAUUGUAAAUCUUAGUCCCUAGUUUUUUAUGUUUACAAAACAAAUGGAUGUUACUAAUCUCUCCUCAAAGAUCUUUUCAGCAAUGAAGCAAAACAGGUUCAAUGAUUUAAUACAAGAAAAAAGGCAAAGAGUGAUGAAAGCUGUCGGACGCUCAUAAAGACUGGAUCGGACGUCCGAUAUUCAUUGCGCAACUUCGGACACAUGAAGUACUCCACCACCGGACGUCGGAAGAUAUUAGAUCAUUUCUUUUAAGCUCACUAACUUCGAUCAGACACACAACAUUAGAGCACCGGACGUCCGACAAACAUUGCGACACUUCGGACGCAAAACAUUGGAGGUACCGGACGUCCGAAAGGAUUGAAGAAGAAUUCUCAGUUUCACUAUCUACCUUCGAACGCAUACAUUGAAGGUACCGGACGUCCGAAAGAAUUGAAGAAAACUUCUUGAGCUCACUGCCUGCUGUCGGACGCAAGAAACAGGUCUACCGGACGUCCGACACUACCAACGGCUAGUUGACUCUUCAGCUACCUUCUAUCCGUUGGAAGCAUUAAUGGAUGAACUUUUUGGUCUCAUAUAAAUAGAGCAUGGUCAACCACUUUCAUACCACUUUUGCACAUUGAUAUUACAAAAGAUCUAGAGUGAUUUUAGUUAGAAAAUACUCUUCAAAUAAGAUUUGUACUCUUGUUUGUGUGAAUUUUGUGUAAGCUCUUUUUGUGUAUGAAAAAUACUUCAAUAGUGUAGUUUUGUGAGGGUCAUCCGAGUGAUAGUAAAACUUCCUAACUUGACCAAGUGUAGCUUGGGACAAGGAGGAAGUGAUCCUUCCUUUGUACACAUAGAUUGGUUGUUUUUAACCAACUUGAAGAGGUUUGUUCUAUAAAGUGAUACUCAAGCUCAAGAGGAGCUUGGAAAUACUUGGUUUGCCAUUCUUUAUCUUUUACUUACUAUCUUGCAAACAUAAACUGAUUAUCUCUUCUACUCCUGAGCAAUCUUGCUUUCUUAAUCAUUUAUUCAUUGUAUGAUCAUCUAGAAAAGAUGAUAAAUUUCAUAUUGAGUCAAAAGUGUCUCAUAACUUGAUUAGUUUUUAAAUAACCUAAUUCACCCCCCUCUUAGGUUGUCUUCAAUCCUUACAAUGUCCCUAGAAAAUGCAGAAAAAAGAAUCACCCCAAACGGAUCUAUAACGAAGGAGAAAAAUGAAUUUGAACAAGGCUAGUCGACCAGCCUGUUCCCAGUUUUCUGUAGAAAAAAUUUUUCUUUCUUUUUCUUGCUUUUUCUCGCUCCCUACCCUAGACCUUGUGCAGCCAUUUUUUUCUAACUUGUUCACUCUCUCUCUUAAAACCUAAAAGCCAUGUUUGUUACGCAUUUAUAUGAAAUGAAAACCCUAAAACUAGCAAUGAAGGAUUGGGAUGAAAAAAUCGUGUGUCUCCUUCCCUCCCUUUGAUCAAUUGUAGUUAGGUGCUAAAAGAUAAGAUUUGGGAGAUGAUGAGCUAUAUUUGUACUAACAAGCUUGGGGAGAAAGAAAGAGAAAAGAAAGAAAAAAAACCUAGCCAUCAAGUUGCUUCGUACUGGUUUGUUGCUGCAAAAUUGGAGAAGAAAAGAGUUUUUUUUUGCUGCAAAAAUUGAAGAGCAUUUUUUUUCAAGAAAAAAGUUGGGCCAAUGGGCCUCUUCUAUUUCCUUUCUUUCCUGACUUUGGAUGGGCUUCGGGUAGGCUUUUUGUUGUGUUUUUGCUUGGGUUUUUGUUUGGUUUUCUGGUAGGUUUUGUGGUUGGGUUUGGGUUUUCUUUUAUUGAGAUUGCAACACAAGAAAAAUAUCUACCAAAUUCUCCAAUUUUGAACAUCCAUUUUUCUUUCUUUUUGUACAAACCUACAAAACAAAAAUAAAAAUAAUUACUUUAAGCAAUUUAUAAGUGAAAAAUAAAAAUAGUAGACUCGAAAUUAAGAAAAAUUUGGUGUCUACAUUUUCUAAAUCCAAAAUUCUCAACUUACAUAUAAAUUACAUAUUAACCUAUUCAUUCUUCUAGAUUGGCCUAUUCAGAGCAACAAGUAACAUCAUAGUAAGUUUUCUUAUUUGUUAUAGAUUUUAUUAGUUAGUAUGAUCUAUUAUGGUUAGUCAUCCCAAGUUUGAUAUUUCUUUUUAAUAGAGUAGUUUGUCAAACUAUCAUCUCUUAUUCACUUGCUUAAAUUAUCCAUAUUGGAAAAAUGUUAUAAAAAUCAACACCGGAUUUGUUAGGUAUGACUAACAGUUAAAAAUAAUUAUGUUCUCAGUAAAACCAAUAAUAAAAGUGCACCUAUUCCUAAAGAGUCACAUGGAGAUAAUAAUGAGGAUGAAAAGUUGAUUACUAAAAGUAUGAUUAUUUUGAAUUUAUUACACUAUCCUUACUGAAGAUUGAGUGAUCAAUUUCUCAAUAUAUAUCUACUGGGGACUUAUGGAGAACACUCGAUGCAACACAUGAUGGGAUAAGUAAUAUGAAAACCUAUAAAAGGGUUAUACUAAUAUAUGAUAGUAUGAGAACUUCACGAAGUCAAAUGGAAGCAUCAUGAAGAUGACAAAGAGAUUCACGGGCAUAAUUAACCCCUUGACAAUUUAGGCAAAACAUAAUAUCCACGAAUUGAACUCACUAAAAAAGUGUUGUGUGCACUACCUAGAUUAUUUCAAUUCAAAAGGCCAAAAUUCUCAGUACAGUGCCAUUAGAAGAACUUGUUAGUUCUUUGAUAAUUGAAAAGAUCAAAUUCUAAAAAAAAAAGUAGAAAAAGGAGAAGACCAACAAGAAUGAAUGGUUGCUCAUUUUCAAUAAUCUACAUAUGAUGAUGAGCUCGAUGUCAAUAUUAAUGAGGGUGAGGAACUUGCUAUGAUCACUCAUAAAGUUAAAUUCCUAUCGAAGAAAUCAAGAAAGAAUUUCUAAGGAGAUCAAAAGAAGAAAUCCAAUAGGAAGGCUGAGUCUUCAGAUCCUACAUUGACUUCUACUCAUGUGUGUUUUUAUUACAAAAUGUCUAGGCAUGUUCAAAUAGAUAACUACUAGUAGAAGAGAUUGAAUAAGGUUAAAACUAAGAACAAAAGGAGAAGGCCAACAAGAAUAAAUGGUUGCUAGUAUUUAAUGACCUACAUAUGAUGGUAAGUCUGAUAUUAAUACCAAUAAGGAUGAGGAACUUGCUAUAAUCACUCAUAGAGUUAAAUUUCUAUAGAAAAAAUCAAGAAAGAACUUUUGAGAAGAUCAAAAGAAGAAAUUCAAUAGGAAGGGUGAGUCUUCAAAUCCUGAAUCAACUUCUACUCAUGUGUGUUUCUAUUAUAAAACAUCUAGGCAUGUUUAGGUAGAUUGCUACUAGUAGAAGAGAUUGAAUAAGGUUAAGACUGAGAACAAAAGAAGAAAAAAAGAAGAUAAAGGAGAAGACUAACAAGAAUAAAUGGUUGCAAGUAUUCAAUAAUCUACAUAUGAUGAUGAGUCUAAUGUCAACACUAAUGAGGAUGAGGAAUUUGCUAUGAUCACUCAUAGAGUUAAAUUCCUCUAGAAGAAAUCAAGAGAGAACUUUUGAGGAGAUCAAAAGAAGAAAUCUAAUAGGAAGGGUAAAUCUUUAGCUACAUCGACUUUUACGCAUUUGUGUUUCCAUUAUAAAAUAUCUAGACAUCUCAGAGAGAUUGCUACUAGUAGAAGAGAUUGAACAAGGUUAAGAUUGAGAACAAUAAGAGGCAAAGUAGAAGAGGACUAGUAUCUACUCAUGAAGCACAAUCAAAAAAUAAAGAAACUUAUAAGCUAGCCAACCCAUAUCUCACAGCCAUAACAAAUACUUCAGGAGUUCAUUCCAAUUUGAAAACUCAACCUAAAGGAACGAGUCAUUUGGUUAAGAAAAGUCAAAAUGUUAUCUUCUUAUGUUGAUGGCUAUUUAGACAAAGAAUCAAAAAAUGAUUAAGUAUGCAUUGUUGGUUUGAAAGAAGAGGUAAAUUCAUCUUCUAAAUGCAGUCAUAAUAAACAACUCUCUUAUAAUGAAUCAAUUGGCAUAAAAACAGGGCUUUAACUACUAAAAAUGAGAAUUUAAAGAAAGAAAAUGAACAUAUGUGCUUAUGUAUGAUAAGCUGAAAUAGAAGCAUAAUAACUUGUUGAUUAAUCCUUGAUGCGUUAAAAACUAAAGGUUGAACCAAAUGUUUGUUUUGAUAAACAAGCUGAUUGUGUGAAUGCUAGUAGUUGUGGAAAUAUUUUUCAAAAGAGAAAAUAAAAUCUAUUUUGAAAAAAAUCAAUUUCCUAAACAAAGAGAAAAUAAAUUUUAUAAAAGAAAGCAAAGUCCAAUUUCUAAACUUAGAACAACCUAUCGAUGUCUAUUAUCAUAGAUUUAACCACUUGUAUAAAUUUUGUUAUGAUUUUUUUUAUACAAAAGAUAUAUGCUUACAUGUUCUUUUUGUGACACAGUUGGACAUGAUCAUUACUUUGUUAGAAGAAAAUCAGAAAAGAAAGUGAUUGAAAUAUGAAAAAUGAGGUUGUUUGGAUUGCAAACUUCCAAGAGUUUUUGGGCAAAAAUUUUUGUAACACAUUUUAAGAUGUAAUAUAUGUGAGGUAAAAGGUGGCUGAAAAAUGGAUAAAAGGAAUAUUCACGAAAAACAUUAAAAUUUUUCCAAAAAAGAGUGAUCCAAACAUGGCCAAUGCACUAGAAAUUUUAUAUUUAAACAAAAGAAGACCAGAGCAUUUUUGCUUAAUUUGUUUUGCAGAUUGCCCUUGUUAAUACGGUGUUUGAAGGCAAGUGGUUAGUUGAUAAUGGAUGUUUUCACCACAUAACUAGAAAUAAGAAUUUAUUCAUUAGUUCUUUUUUUUUUAAGAAGAAAUAUGGAAUAGUCACAAUUGGUGACAAUAGGGCACGUUUGGUUAUUGGUAAUGGAGUCAUUGAUAAUGACUCUCAUAGAAUUAAAGAUGUUUAUUUUUUCAAAAAUUUCUCUUUUAACUUACUAGGUGUCAGUCAAUUAUGUGUUAUUGGUUAUGAUGUUAAGUUUGAUAAAAUUAGAUGCAUUGUUGAGAAUAAGGUAACAAAAGGGAUUAUCCUAAUUGCUAACACAUUUGAGAAUGUAUAUCUUGCUAACUUGAAUGAUGAAAGUUCUCAGUAUGCUAGUUGCAUAUUUACUUUUCAUAAUCAAGUUAUUUUGUGUCAUAGACAUUUUGGACAUGCAACUUUAGAUUUUAUUUCUAGAUUGUCUAAAAGUGAUCUUGUUACUAAUUUGCCUCAAAUUAGCUUUCAAAAAGAAAAAUUAUAUGAUGCUUACCAACUAAGUAAACAAAUUAAAAGUUCUUUCAAAAAUAUUUCUAAUGUUACUACUGAUAGAUGUUUGUAAUUGAUUCAUAUGGAUUUUUUUGGACCUAUGUGACAUGAUACACUAAGUGAAACUUAUAUGUCUUUGUUUUAAUAUAUGAUUUGCAAGAUAUACAUAGACCAUCCUACUUGCAAAAAGAAUAAUGCUUUUAAUGAGUUUGCUACUAGGUGCAAGAAAGUUAAAAAAAAUGAAAAGGCUACUGUAUUGUUUCCUUAAGAAUUGAUUGAGAAAGAGAAUAUGACAAUGCGCUUUUUGAAGAGUGUUGCAAUGAGAAUAGAAGUUCCCACAAAUUUUCAUCAAAUCUAGAUAGUAUAUGAAAACAUCGCACUCACCAGCAAACAGAGGAAGCAAGCAGCAGCAAAAAUCUAGAAUAGUAUAUGAAAACAAAAGAAAACAAAGGAAACAAAAGAAAGAGGAUCACCAUACCUUUGUCGCAUAUGUCCAGUGGAUAAACGGGAAUUGCAGCCACAUCUGUACAAGAAAGCAGAGGGAAAAAAGAGUUGUCGAACUCAUAAAGAGAGAAACCAAAAUUCCGGUUUAGUGGAAGAGUGGUGGCAACAUUUAUUGACAAACACACCCAUACCCUUGGCCUUAUAGGUGCACACACAGUUAAAAAUCUAGUGAAUAUAAAAAGGAGGGGUAUUGUAGUCUUUUUGGAAUAAACUAAUCCUAACACCGCUACUGGGAUUCAAUUUAACUGACGAACCAUCAUUGUUGCCAUACAAAUAAAUAGGUCGGUGAUAUCCUCUUCCUUGCAUGAAUGAGAGGGAAAAAGUAUUUGUUGCUUUUAGCCAAGAAAAUAUCAGAAAAAAAUGGCAGAAAAACGAAAGAUAUCAACCAUUGCAAACUGCAGGAGGAAAAGGAGGGAAAUGAAAAAGAAGACAAUGGGUGUGAGCACCCAAAAUUUUCAUACCUUUCAUUUUGACUUACUUGCUUGUAUAUAUAGUGAAUGAUGACGGACAGUUGUACCUUAUUGCUUCUUUUAAUUGAUUGCCUAAAGUUUUGUGGCACGAGAUAUUUAUGGCAAGAAAGAGAUUUUAAUACAAGAGACUUCAAACCCUAGCUUUGACAAAGAAAAAAAGGUUUUGCUCAUUUUUGCUCACUUUUAGAUGUUUGCAAGUUGUGUUGUGAUCCGAUAGUUAGUUAUAUAUUUUCUUUGAUUUCAUUUACUUGCCUUGAAUUCUUGGUUGUUUUAUUAGUUGAAUCAUGAUUUUGACUUAUUUUCUUAUUUUACUUGGUGCAUGUUUCAUUUGAUACAUGUUAUGUUUCAUAGUGCAUAAUACUAGUGUGAUCGAUUAGUGAGGUGUGUGCAAUAAAUUUGGAGGAUUAGAAGGAGUUUUGUGCAAAAGGAAUUAUGUGACAAAAGGUGUUAAGAGAUGAUUGGAGGAGUAAUAGAUAUUUGAGUGCUUAAGAGAGACAAUUAAAUAGACUUCACUUGGAUUUGUGCCACUUGUCAAACACCAAGCCAAUCUUGACCAAGACCUUAACCAAGAUUAAGCUUAAAAUUUAUCCAACUCAAGUCAAUCACCAUUUUCUUCCUUUGCCUUCCAUGAUGGACGAAAUUUGAGAGGAGAAGAAGAGAAAAAUACUCCAUUUUCAGCCUUGAUCUCUUGCUUGAAUCAUGGAAGAAAAACCAAGAUCAACCUCAAUCCACUCCAAUCAACCUUGAGAUAAGCUUGAGGGGAAGCUUUUGGAGAAGUUUUGGAGGAAGAAACCCUUGAGUACUUCUUGCUUGGCUGUCCAUCUAAGUUUUGGAGGUAAAGAGGAGAACUUUGCUAGAAAUCCUCCCUUAUCUUUGAGUUUCUAUGAUAUAUGAUGUUAUAGAACCUAAAGGAAGGAUUUGUAUGGUGGAUUUCAUGAUUUUCAUAUUGUGUUGUGAUUUUCCAGCGUUGUUUUGUGGGACUUAAGAGGUCAACUUGAUUGCCACCUUAUCUUUUCCACUUGUAUUUAUAUCUACUUGAUGGAUGAUACUUUAUAAGGUAAAAGGCAUGACUUUUAUGAUAGCUAUCAUGGUAUUGUUAGGUUUGGUGAAAUUUCUAGCCUUGAUGUAGUUACUUGAAGCUCUAUAUAUACAUGGAGUUGUGAUGGUUAAAUGUUAUGUAUAUGCUUGAUUUAGUGAGUUGGUAGCCUGGUAUGUAUAUGCUUGAUUUGAGGAUGUUUUAUGGUGAGAAUGAAGCCUUGAAAAUGGCUGGAAAUUAGGGAAAAUAAGGGGAAGUGCUGCUGAAAAUUUUUCCCACAGGAGACUUUGAGCAGUUUUGGGAAAUCUGUUAUAUCUUGGUGUAGAAAAUCUGAAUUGAGUUCCGUUUGUUGCAUUUGAAACUAGACUCAUAGAUCUUUUUACCGUCUAAAAUUCAUAGGUUGGUUCACUUUCUAUAAAUACCAGCAAAAUUUCAAAGUGGGCUGAAAAUCCAAGACUGUCCUGUUUUUGCACUUAGUUGAGCAGUGAAUUGAGGCUAAGAUUUGACUAAUUUAUGGGCUGAAUUUUAGAACAUGUCUUCUAGAGAGUUGUAGUCUUCUGAGUCUAUUUUCUAACGAUAUAAGAUUUAUGAUUUUUAGACUUACAAAACUCAAGUUAUAACUUUUCAAAGAGCGUUACAAAAGCUGGAAUUUUUCUUAUGAAAUGACAAAAAACUUGGAAGGGUCUUGGAAACAUUUUCUGGUUUUUAAACCUAACUUUCUCGAUUACUUGCACUCCAUUUCACACUUGGAUCAUGUAUUUAUUAUGUUUAUAUGCUAUAGAUAAGUCUAGAUUAGUUGGUUUUGUAGCCGAGUGUAAGAACCCAUUUUCCUUAUGAGUUAUGGAGUUGAUUUGGGCUGUUUUGCCAUAAAGCUUAGCUUGAAAAAUUGGAGGAAAAAUUGAAGGAAAAACAGGGAAAUUGUUGUCCAUUUCAUUUCUUGAAGGAUAAGUGAGUAAAAGUGGACAUGGAGGUGUGCUUUGUAAUCGAUUUGGACUUCACUUGUUUAGGAAUGUUUGAGUUAACCUUGGAGGUGAUAUGUAAGUUGAAAUUUUGCCAAAAUUAUAUAUUUUGCAAGGUGAAAGUAAUGACCAUUUUAAAACAUGAUUUUUAGUCGCGUAUGUCACGUUUUAAACUUAAAAGUUCCAAUCGUUUUCUUUCCAAAACAAAAGCAAGUGUGCAUGUAUUUUACUUAGGGUCACUAAGCUUAUGAAGUCUAUGUAUAUAAGUUCUAUUCACAUGAUUUCCUUGUGAUAUUCACAAGUGAGGGUUGGAUAUUUGGAAACCCAACUUGAUUGUAUUCUGUUAUUCAAUAUUUGAUCGCAGAUUUAGAAUCCGGCCAAGGAGCUAGGCCUCAACCUGAUUUUGCUAAACACUAAUCGUUGGUGAGUGUUCCUUGCAUGUGUAUGAUUAAAAUGACUACGUGAAAUGUUGUGAAUGUUGCCGGAAUGUUAAUGCUUUCCAAUGAUUGCUAAAUGGAUUUUCAAUGGACGAGUGUUUACCUUCUCGCACUCGACCCAAGCAAAAGUAAAUUUUCAAUAAUUGAAUGCUACUUGUGCAUAAAUGUAAGCUUUUUGGCUGAACUGGGCCCUUGCCCUUCUUUGCCAAUCGACUCGAGCCAGAAGCGGACUUGGUCGGGCAGCUGGUGACCCUGGGACAAUGUUUGGUAUACUCGAGUAUUACCACAAAGUCUGGUGGAGAACUGGCCAGUGAAUUCAAUGCAAUGAAAUCAAUGAAUGAAUAACAAGAACACUGAAGGAGUUUUCACUUGCAAAUGUUUUCUAAUGUCAGAGGGAUAAGGAAAAUGGUUGGUGAAUGAAUGAAUAAAUGGCUUGAAUAAAUGGCUCCAAGUGAGCACGUAUCUUUUCAAUAAAUGAAUGAUUGAUUUUUUAAUGACUGCCUAUUACUGUGUCAAAUGUGCAAAGUGCUAAGUGUAAAUGUUCCCAUAUUUACCUGCUUGUUUGCUUGUUUGGGAACCUCACUGAGCUUUUAGCUCAUCUCAUUAGUUUGUUUUCCUUACAGGGGUGGAGGCUGGAGCAAGUAACCGUGAACUAGUGUAUAUAAUCUCUUGUACUUGUACUUUUGCAGAUGUGAUGUAUUUAGAACCUUUAGAAUGUAAUCCUAUGUUUUACUUUUGAAUUGUAAAUUAAGUUUGAAUUGUUGGUUGGAAAUGGAACUUUUAUGUUAAUUUCGAGGCUUGAAAAGCUAUUUCAAGAACGUUAGUGAGUGAGUCCUGGCGAGAGUUGGGUAGGCGGUCCGCCAAACCCUUAGGUACGCCCUAGAGGGAGGUGGGGUCGUCACAAUGGGGAAAUGGGAGAAACUGAUGGAGGGAGAGGAGGAAGAAAUCAGCAUCAAAAUUAGAAGGUUAAAGGAAAAUUGCAAAAGACAUUAGCAUCUAGAAGAAAGUUGUCUAAUAUCAACAUUAGCAAGAAUACUAGAUAACUUCAAUAACAGACUCAUUGAGUCCACUAUUCUCGAUUUUUCACAUUCAACAUUGAUUUGUUAAUCAUGAUCAGUUAGGGGAAACAAUCAAACACCUCUUAUGCUUUAAAACUCGAUACUUCAACUAUCAAAAGCAGAAUUAGAGACAAAGUCCAGCUUCGGACAAUAGAAAAUGGAGCAGAUCUGCAACUACUUUGUCUCAUGAAAAAUUAAACAAAAGCUCGGUGUUGUAUUAGUCUUUUUUCCUAGUUCUUAACUUCAUUGGAAUUCUAUGGAAUACUUCAACAUGAGGGCACGAGUUUCCCUUUAUCAUUUAGUUAUACUAUCAGGAAAACAAAACACAAAAAAGAAAAGAGAAGACAUAAAUAAAAAAAGGUAACCACGUAAUAGGUAAACUUAAAUGAUAAAAGAGAAACAAAAAACCUGAGAAAAACAACAUACCUUCAAUCAUUUAUCCUCCAUUUCUUGAAGACAUAAUAAUAGUGAUAACGAGAUUAAAAAAACAGACUUGAUAACAAAUCUCCCAAAACAAAAACAGCCACAGAGCACAAAAAAUUUGAAACAUAAGCCAUUGCACAUACCCACAAGGCUCAAUGCUGAAAAUGUUGCAUCUUUUUUCCUUCUUACUUUAUCCGACAUACACCUUGAAUUAGGAAAUGUUGACCAGAUCAAAUUUAUUAGUAAGACUUUGAAAAACUCCAAGGAAAAAAAAAACUCCAAAAUUAACUCAUUUUGAAGAAAAAAAACACACAGAAAGACUUCAAAAAUACUCUAAGGAAAAGAAAAAUAGAGGUUUCAUUUUUGGAUCGAAAAAAAAAUAGAGAGACCCUACAAGUCUUUACCUUGAGAAAAGAAUCUCCACGAUUCUUCGUGCUUGCUGAUAGUCUUGAUCUCUCAACCUGUAGCAAAUGCAUGAAACUUAAUAGAGAAUAAAAGAAAAUUUAAUCAAGGGGCAAAAAAAGCAUACACAAAAUUAAAAUGGAGAAAGCAACGGACUUGAGAGACAAACAAAAAACAAAAAAGAGAGAGAGAUGGAGAGAAGAAUAUUUGACUUAUGCUGAAAAAAGAAGAGAGGGGAAAAUGUGCAGAGGAAGAAGAUUGAUUGAUUGAGAAGAGGACAAAGGGGACAGGAGGACAUCUGGACACUGCAAUGGGUAGAGUUGGUGGAGUAGUUCCUGAUUUUUAAUGAAGACCUCAAGACUAGUGCAGUACCCAACU